GUGGGGAAUAUUGGACAAUGGGCGCAAGCCUGAUCCAGCCAUGCCGCGUGAGUGAUGAAGGCCCUAGGGUUGUAAAGCUCUUUCACCGGUGAAGAUAAUGACGGUAACCGGAGAAGAAGCCCCGGCUAACUUCGUGCCAGCAGCCGCGGUAAUACGAAGGGGGCUAGCGUUGUUCGGAAUUACUGGGCGUAAAGCGCACGUAGGCGGACAUUUAAGUCAGGGGUGAAAUCCCGGGGCUCAACCCCGGAACUGCCUUUGAUACUGGGUGUCUGGAGUAUGGAAGAGGUAAGUGGAAUUCCGAGUGUAGAGGUGAAAUUCGUAGAUAUUCGGAGGAACACCAGUGGCGAAGGUGGCUUACUGGUCCAUUACUGACGCUGAGGUGCGAAAGCGUGGGGAGCAAACAGGAUUAGAAACCCUUGUAGUCC
rnacentral:rRNA from 1 species